AGAACGAACGCUGGCGGCAUGCCUAAUACAUGCAAGUCGAACGAAGGCUUCGGCCUUAGUGGCGCACGGGUGCGUAACGCGUGGGAAUCUGCCCCUUGGUUCGGAAUAACAGUUGGAAACGACUGCUAAUACCGGAUGAUGACGAAAGUCCAAAGAUUUAUCGCCAAGGGAUGAGCCCGCGUAGGAUUAGCUAGUUGGUGAGGUAAAGGCUCACCAAGGCGACGAUCCUUAGCUGGUCUGAGAGGAUGAUCAGCCACACUGGGACUGAGGCACGGCCCAGACUCCUACGGGAGGCAGCAGUAGGGAAUAUUGGACAAUGGGCGAAAGCCUGAUCCAGCAAUGCCGCGUGAGUGAUGAAGGCCUUAGGGUUGUAAAGCUCUUUACCCGAGAUGAUAAUAACAGUAUACGGAAGAAGUAAGCCCCGGACUAACCGUCCGUGCCAGCAGCCGC
rnacentral:rRNA from 1 species